UGUCUCUUAUAAUAAAUCAAUUAAACUGAUCUCCCAGUAAAAAAGCUGAGAUACCCACAUAAGACCAGAAGACCCUGUGAAGCUUAAACUAACAAUUAAACCAAAUAAUAACUACUUUCGGUUGGGGCGACCUUGGAAAAAAAAAGAACUUCCAAAUAACGAUCUUACCUCCAACUAAAAGGCCCCCAACCCACAAAAAAUAUUGACCCAACAUAACUGAUAAACGAACCCAGUUACUCCAGGGAUAACAGCGCAAUCUUCUUCAAGAGCCCAUAUCAAAAAGAAGGUUUACGACCUCGAUGUUGGAUCAGGACAUCCUAAUGGCGCAGCCACUAUUAAGGGUUCGUUUGUUCCACGAUUAAUAGUCCUACGUGAUCU
rnacentral:rRNA from 1 species